rnacentral:lncRNA from 1 species
AGCAUUCUGGGGCUUUCAAGCGAUUUUGGUUUUAUCCCAGCGGAGUGAAAGAUGAAAAUUAACUCUAAGGACCACUUCCUGUAGGGAGAUAUAGAUGGGCAGAUCCUGCUGCUGAGACGCACUUCAGCCCCGUUCCAGAGGUGCUGUGCCACUGAGCUGGCUGGAUUUUUGGCUCUCCAAGUAAAAGAAAGGAAAUAAAUCAAGAGAAAACAACAAAGAGGGAUGAAGAGAGAGAGUCUAGAUUUGAACUGAUAUGAAACCCAGGACUUGGCGUGCAGCCCAGUAAAUAUUGGAAUGACAUUACCUGAGCUUAAAAAAAAAAAAAAAAAGACUAAUUGUUAAGCUUAAUUUGUAUCUGUAGUGGAACUGGGGAGCAGACACCAUGGAAAUAUCAUUAUUUCUUUUAAUCAUUUUCUUUGGUAACAGAAUCAGAAGGAAACAGCUCUGGAGAGAUUCUUGUUAUAUUUUCUCUGCCUCCGUCUUUUCUUUCUGAUUCCCUCCACUGUUCCCAGCUCUGUCAAGACUGUGACAAACUUAAUUACCAGCAAACAGUAGGAAAUCCAGAUGACAUAUCUCUCCUUUUUUUUUUUUUUUUUUUUCUUUUGACUUCAUAAAAGCUUUCUAGUCUUAAAUCUAAAGUGAGUAAGGACAGGGGCCAGAUGGUGCUGGUCUCCGAGAAUGGCAGCAUCUGAAUCCUUGAGAUCUUCUUCAGAGUCAGAAAGCCAAAGACGUGGCAGCCACAAACAAAGGGAGCGGGGUGAGCCCUGCCGGUGGGAGACACGUCCUUGCUUGCUGCUGCUGGUGAUAAAGCUCCUGUGGGAUGAACUGCACAACUUGAGGAUGGACUGGAAAUGAUAACCAGGGCCCCAAAGGUCUUUAAUCACGGGAGUGCCAAGCAGCUGAGGGGUCCCUGCAGGUCUCCGCAGGUCUCCGAGCUGCUCACAGCUCCUGUUAUCUCACCUGGCGUGAGGGGAGAGGAGCCCCCGGCAGCCUCAGCACUCGGUGGCAUUUGUGGCUAAGUGGCUUGUUUUCCUGCCUGCAGAGCGGCUUCAGAUUAAUGAUGUUUUCUGCAAAAUGUACGCCAUUUCCCCCCGUUUUGAACCCUCUCCUUGCCAGGAGAGUGCUCUCGUAAAUGAAGCGAUCCACCUCUAUGCUGGGUGGCUGUGCUAGCUCCCAGCCAACACAUAGCUGUGUCCCUAUCAUUAUUUUAAUCAUACAGCCUGGGCAGCCCACUGGCGUUCAGGACAUGCCGAGAUCUGCCACGCAGACACCUCCUUCCCCGUGCUCCCUCUGAUGGAGAUGGACAGCGGUGGGGCCGAGCUGUGCGGCUCUCCGCAGGUGCUUGCAAGCACUUAGCUGUGCCACGAGACAGCCUGCCAGUGCAGGGCUUUGCAAACAUGAACUAGGCACUGCAGGAUGCAUACAAAACCCAAAUUCUGAACAACUGCACUCCCUCCUACAAUAUUUUCCCCAAGCUGACUAUCUCCAGAGCCCCAGCCUUGCAGAGCAGCCCCUGCCUUUGUGACUUACGGGCCAGCUUCUUUCACCUCCAGCAAAUAUGUUUUCUGCCAGUGUUUGUUUUUCUGGGCACUGCUGCAGCUCGGAGCAUGGCUAGGGCCUCGUGCCAGCCGUGUUUCAGUAAAUCAUUACACGUAGCAGGAUGAGGCAAAGAGCUAGGACAAAAAGACCAUGGCCAAUUUUGGCUUUUGGCUGUUGAUCUCAGAACCCUCUCAAAGCAUUAAAAAUCUCUUUGGCUGAAAUCUUGAACUCCUGUAAGAUGAAGAGGCAGCCCAAGGGUGAACACUUAGCAGGACUUGGCAAGCGUCCCACUGCCCAUUGCUCUGGGCACCGGAACAACUGGAGAAAUAAAUGGCAGAGAUGUUUGGCACGGCUGGGGCAUGUGCCACACUUCCAGACAUCUUAAAACAAAACAAAACAACACAUUUUGUUACUUAUAAUUAAUGAAAUGAGGCAGUAGAUGUGCAAAAGAAGAAAACAAAUCUAAAAGUCUCUCCUAAGCAAACAAGUUACAUCUCACAAUUUUAUAAUUUAUUUAUUUAUUUUUUUAAUCUCACCAGACUCCACUCUGGCUGGCUAUGAUUUUAUCCUGCUCCCUCUCUGUCUGGUCCUG